rnacentral:rRNA from 1 species
GACGAACGCUGGCGGCGUGCCUAACACAUGCAAGUCGAACGAAGUUAGAAGGAGCUUGCUUCUUCUAACUUAGUGGCGGACGGGUGAGUAACGCGUGAGUAACCUGCCUUACAGAGGGGGAUAACGUCUGGAAACGGACGCUAAUACCGCAUAACAUUUUGAGAUCACAUGGUCUUAAAAUCAAAGGAGUAAUCCGCUGAAAGAUGGACUCGCGUCCGAUUAGCUAGUUGGUGAGAUAAAAGCCACCAAGGCGACGAUCGGUAGCCGGGUUGAGAGACUGGACGGCCACAUUGGGACUGAGACACGGCCCAGACUCCUACGGGAGGCAGCAGUGGGGGAUAUUGCACAAUGGAGGAAACUCUGAUGCAGCAACGCCGCGUGAGGGAAGACGGUUUUCGGAUUGUAAACCUCUGUCCUUGGUGAAGAUAAUGACGGUAGCCAAGGAGGAAGCUCCGGCUAACUACGUG